GUCGCGGUAGCUCUCCUCUUUCAGAAUUCAAAACAAAAUGGCCGAUUGAGACCGAGACUAAUAGCACUAGUGCAUUAGUAUACAUCUCUAUGAUAUAGACUUUGUCAAAUUCGCGCAUGCGCCCUACACCCUCGGUACCGGUCUCGAACGGCCAUUUUGCUAUGAAUUCUGAAAGAAGGAGAGCUACCGCGACAUAACUUUUUCGUUUUUUGAGGUUCCAGUCUGUGCCUCGAUGUCAGGAAGCUGCCAAUCGUUAGACCUUCAUCCAUAUAAUCGUGCCCCGGCAGGAGGAUAAUCCGAUUUUCAAAGGAGUCCCAAACAAUACAAUGAUUCUCCCCGAGUGAAACUUACAAAGAAGGAGUUACAUGUAUAGGCCUAUAUAUACCAGUGAUACAUGACUAUUUACUCUGCGGUGAUAGUAGAAGUGGUCAUGUUCUUGUUUGAAGACUGUACACCUCUCGUUUGUCUCCUUAGGAAAUAUAUACACCAAUCAAUAGGACUCGAGUUUUUCGGACAUUAUAGAAACGAUGAGGCAUUGGCCGUGGAAAAGAAGACUUAUCUUCGCCGCCAUUACUUCGUUUAGCCUGCUCGUGUCGUUGUUCGUCUAUGUUCCGUGGACCAACUACAACCACUCAUCAUUUGUGACCACGUUGACUGGCGGUGGUCAUCGACGUCUGGCUGUGAUCGACGAUCACGUAAAGGAUGGUAUUACCUCGAGGAAAGACAGGCAGAUAGAU